rnacentral:rRNA from 1 species
AUUGAACGCUGGCGGCAUGCUUUACACAUGCCAGUCGAACGGCAGCGGGGAGGAGCUUGCUUCUCUGCCGGCGAGUGGCGCACGGGUGAGUAAUACAUCGGAACGUGUCGAGAAGAGGGGGAUAACCACCCGAAAGGGUGGCUAAUACCGCAUAAAUUCUGAGGAAGAAAGCUGGGGACCUAGGAAUAGGCCUAGCGCUUUUUGAGCGGCCGAUGUCGGAUUAGCUAGUUGGUGAGGUAAAGGCUCACCAAGGCGAAGAUCUGUAGCGGGUCUGAGAGGAUGAUCCGCCACACUGGGACUGAGACACGGCCCAGACUCCUACGGGAGGCAGCAGUGGGGAAUAUUGGACAAUGGGGGCAACCCUGAUCCAGCCAUGCCGCGUGUAUGAAGAAGGCCUUAGGGUUGUAAAGUACUUUUGUUAGGGAAGAAAAGUCAGCUGUGAAUAAUGGCUGAUACUGACGGUACCUAAAGAAUAAGCACCGGCUAACUACGUG